AUUGAACGCUUGCGGCAGGCCUAACACAUGCAAGUCGAGCGAGCGGCGGACGGGUUAGUAAUGUAUGGGGACUGCCCGAUAGAGGGGGAUAACUACUGGAAACGGUAGCUCAUACCGCAUACUAUCGGAUAACCCAUAUCGGAUUAGCUAGUUGGUGGGGUAAAGGCUCACCAAGGCAACGAUCCGUAGCUGGUUUGAGAGGACGACCAGCCACACUGGGACUGAGACACGGCCCAGACUCCUACGGAGGCAGCAGUGGGGAAUUUUGGAGAAUGGGGGAAACCCUGAUGCAGCCAUCCCGCGUGUAUGAUGAAGGCCGUCGGGUUGUAAAGUACUUUUGGCAGAGAAGCGGUAUCUGCAGAAUAAGCACCGGCUGACUACGUGCCAGCAGCCGCGGUAAUAC
rnacentral:rRNA from 1 species